rnacentral:rRNA from 1 species
AUUGAACGCUGGCGGCAGGCCUAACACAUGCAAGUCGAGCGGCAGCGGGAAAGUAGCUUGCUACUUUUGCCGGCGAGCGGCGGACGGGUGAGUAAUGCCUGGGGAUCUGCCCAGUCGAGGGGGAUAACUACUGGAAACGGUAGCUAAUACCGCAAACGCUCUACGGGGGAAAGCAGGGGACCUUCGGGCCUUGCGCGAUUGGACGAACCCAGGGGGGAUUAGCUAGUUGGUGAGGUAACGGCUCACCAAGGCGACGAUCCCUAGCUGGUCUGGGAGGAUGACCAGCCACACUGGAACUGAGACAAGGUCCAGACUCCUACGGGAGGCAGCAGUGGGGAAUAUUGCACAAUGGGGGAAACCCUGAUGCAGCCAUGCCGCGUGUGUGAAGAAGGCCUUCGGGUUGCAAAGCACUUUCAGCGAGGAGGAAAGGUCAGUAGCUAAUAUCUGCCGGCUGUGACGUUACUCGCAGAAGAAGCACCGGCUAACUCCGUGCCAGCCGCCGCCGUAA